ACAAGUUCAGCGCUCAACUUCCCGCUCUUAACGAGACGCGGGAUCCCUUUGGAGAGGCCCUCGGGAGCUGGCGGCGGGGCUGGGAGUGGCGUGGACUCCUGGGGAUCUGAGUGAUCGGACAUAGCAAUCAAGAGAUAUCUGCCUGCGCUCCAGGAUGGGAUUGCAGGGGACCCACUGAUCUGAGUGCCAGCCAAUGCCUGAGCGGGUGUGUAUGGAGUAUCACUGUUUCUAUUUGGACCGUGACACUGCUCAGGGAAAGCGCCAGUAUUGAGGCCACUGGAACUGUGGUUCUGCAAAUGCUUUGUGGCCUUGGCCUCUUUUCUAGGUAUGUCCACAGUCUCUAGUUAUCCCUGUACCCAGACCAGAGGCAUACUACCCAACGGAUGGGGAAGAUCAGUGGAAACUAGCAUGCUAUCUCAAUAAAUGUUUAAUAAGAAGAGUUCCGAAAUAUACUUUAGGAGGAAUUUAGGAUCUAUUUUAAAUAAUAUUUGCAUACUACAUUUAGUGUAGAAAAUGAUUCAUUAAAGCAAAUGUGAAAUUGCUUUAAAUUUGUGUUAGAAGCCUAGACAGCCCUCAUACUGAUGUGAAAAUAAAAUAUUUAA